CCUACGGGCGGCUGCAGUGGGGAAUAUUGCACAAUGGGCGCAAGCCUGAUGCAGCCAUGCCGCGUGUGUGAAGAAGGCCUUCGGGUUGUAAAGCACUUUCAGCGGGGAGGAAGGCGUUAAGGUUAAUAACCUUGGCGAUUGACGUUACCCGCAGAAGAAGCACCGGCUAACUCCGUGCCAGCAGCCGCGGUAAUACGGAGGGUGCAAGCGUUAAUCGGAAUUACUGGGCGUAAAGCGCACGCAGGCGGUCUGUCAAGUCGGAUGUGAAAUCCCCGGGCUCAACCUGGGAACUGCAUUCGAAACUGGCAGGCUAGAGUCUUGUAGAGGGGGGUAGAAUUCCAGGUGUAGCGGUGAAAUGCGUAGAGAUGUGGAGGAACACCAGUGGCGAAGGCGGCUCUCUGGUCUGUAACUGACGCUGAGGCGCGAAAGCGUGGGGAGCAAACAGGAUUAGAUACCCGAGUAGUC
rnacentral:rRNA from 1 species